rnacentral:rRNA from 1 species
CCUACGGGAGGCAGCAGUGGGGAAUUUUGGACAAUGGGCGCAAGCCUGAUCCAGCAAUGCCGCGUGAGUGAAGAAGGCCUUCGGGUUGUAAAGCUCUUUUGUCAGGGAAGAAAAGGGUCUGGCUAAUAUCUAGGCCUCAUGACGGUACCUGAAGAAUAAGCACCGGCUAACUACGUGCCAGCAGCCGCGGUAAUACGUAGGGUGCAAGCGUUAAUCGGAAUUACUGGGCGUAAAGCGUGCGCAGGCGGUUUUGUAAGACUGUCGUGAAAUCCCCGGGCUCAACCUGGGAAUGGCGAUGGUGACUGCAAGGCUAGAGUUUGGCAGAGGGGGGUAGAAUUCCACGUGUAGCAGUGAAAUGCGUAGAUAUGUGGAGGAACACCGAUGGCGAAGGCAGCCCCCUGGGUCAAAACUGACGCUCAUGCACGAAAGCGUGGGGAGCAAACAGGAUUAGAUACCCUGGUAGUCCACGCCCUAAACGAUGUCUACUAGUUGUCGGGUUUUAAUUAACUUGGUAACGCAGCUAACGCGUGAAGUAGACCGCCUGGGGAGUACGGUCGCAAGAUUAAAACNCAAAGGAAUUGACGG